rnacentral:tRNA from 1 species
GCCCCGAUGGUGUAGCUCGGCCCAGCAUCUAGGGUUUUCGACCCUGAGACCCGGGUUCAAAAGAGGUAAUGAAUGCCAUUCCUCUGAGAUUCCCGGUCGGGGCACCA